GCACGCGCGCGCUCGCCCCCGCUCCUGCCGCGCACCUGCACGCACCAAGGUUCGAUCCCCACUGGCAUUUGAUAUAGAAAGUAGAAACAGCAAAUUUCACCCAGGCAACAUGAUGUCUUUAGUUUGCAAUCCCACCCACCCGCGGCGCCACAUCAGCAAAUCCAGUCCUAAAACCGGUGUGAGGGCGAUUUCAACCGGGAUAAGAAAUGUCAGGUGCCGACGCCUACACCUCGACCGCCUCGCUCGACCGUGUCGGCCCACUAAGAAUUAGGGUACCACGGCCCGUCUGCCUCCAGUCCAGAAGGCGGCAUGUGGGCUGGCCCGUGGAAGAUGGUUUGGAAGAAGCCGCCUUGCGAAGGGAAGGCCUCACGAGGCCUCUCACAGUCAAGUUAGUCCUAGUCAAGGUCACCAAGUAUCAAAACGUCUCACGAGGCCGUUUCAUGUAGAAUGUCCUAUGACGUCAGCCGCGGGGUUCCGCGUCCGUUACGUGGAUGACGUCCCGCUGUCACGACAAGGAUGACAGGGCAUGACCAUAGCCAGAUUCCAAUCUGAUGAUAAGGGAGCACCAACCAUCAAUUGUGACUCGGGGAGAUGAAAGGUAGAGAAUGGCUUAUUCGUAAAAGAAGGCUCCAAGCGAAAUAUAGAAUAGAAAGGAAGGGGCAUCCCCGUGAGAAAACCAGGUGGUGUUACUUUCCUCCUUCCACCUUCAAUUCAACAUUUUGUUCAUUCGAGUUUGAUUGUGUCAUAGUUCUAUAGUUGGAAUUUGGUUUAUCGUUGGAUGAACUGCAUUGCUGAUAUUGAUCCCAAGAAAAAAACAGCCGACAAAGAAAAAACAGAAUAUAACAGAGAAAUAUUGGUUCUGGCUGGCAGCGGGCAUAGGACUGAAAAUCCUCUUUCGCCGGGCCUUUUGGACUCGAAAUCCAAACAGAGAGAGUGGUUCAAAUCCACCUCAGAACGAACACGGAAUAUUCAGUUUGGUAACCUGCUACUAAUUCUUCCUCUGCUUCUGGUAAAUCAAAGGGUAAUCUUUCACAUUCUGCCAAA